rnacentral:rRNA from 1 species
UAAGUUGCAGGGUAUAGACCCGAAACCCGGUGAUCUAGCCAUGGGCAGGUUGAAGGUUGGGUAACACUAACUGGAGGACCGAACCGACUAAUGUUGAAAAAUUAGCGGAUGACUUGUGGCUGGGGGUGAAAGGCCAAUCAAACCGGGAGAUAGCUGGUUCUCCCCGAAAGCUAUUUAGGUAGCGCCUCGUGAACUCAUCUUCGGGGGUAGAGCACUGUUUCGGCUAGGGGGUCAUCCCGACUUACCAACCCGAUGCAAACUACGAAUACCGAAGAAUGUUAUCACGGGAGACACACGGCGGGUGCUAACGUUCGUCGUGAAGAGGGAAACAACCCAGACCGCCAGCUAAGGUCCCAAAGUCAUGGUUAAGUGGGAAACGAAGUGGGAAGGCUCAGACAGCCAGGAUGUUGGCUUAGAAGCAGCCAUCAUUUAAAGAAAGCGUAAUAGCUCACUGGUCGAGUCGGCCUGCGCGGAAGAUGUAACGGGGCUAAACCAUGCACCGAAGCUGCGGCAGCGACAUUUAGAUGUUGUUGGGUAGGGGAGCGUUCUGUAAGCCUGUGAAGGUGUGCUGCGAGGCAUGCUGGAGGUAUCAGAAGUGCGAAUGCUGACAUAAGUAACGAUAAUGCGGGUGAAAAACCCGCACGCCGGAAGACCAAGGGUUCCUGUCCAACGUUAAUCGGGGCAGGGUGAGUCGACCCCUAAGGCGAGGCAGAAAUGCGUAGUCGAUGGGAAACAGGUUAAUAUUCCUGUACUGGUGAUAAUUGCGAUGGGGGGACGGAGAAGGCUAGGCUGGCCGGGCGACGGUUGUCCCGGUUUAAGGAUGUAGGCAGGUGAAUUAGGCAAAUCCGGUUCACUACAUGCUGAGGUCUGAUGACGAGUCACUACGGUGGCGAAGUAGCUCAUGCCCCGCUUCCAGGAAAAGCCUCUAAGCUCUAGAUUAUCAUUAAUCGUACCCCAAACCGACACAGGUGGUCAGGUAGAGAAUACUCAGGCGCUUGAGAGAACUCGGGUGAAGGAACUAGGCAAAAUGGUGCCGUAACUUCGGGAGAAGGCACGCUGGCGCUAGGUGAAGUCCCUCGCGGAUGGAGCUGAAGCCAGUCGCAGAUACCAGCUGGCUGCAACUGUUUAUUAAAAACACAGCACUGUGCAAACACGAAAGUGGACGUAUACGGUGUGACGCCUGCCCGGUGCUGGAAGGUUAAUUGAUGGGGUUAUCCGUAAGGAGAAGCUCUUGAUCGAAGCCCCAGUAAACGGCGGCCGUAACUAUAACGGUCCUAAGGUAGCGAAAUUCCUUGUCGGGUAAGUUCCGACCUGCACGAAUGGCGUAAUGAUGGCCAGGCUGUCUCCACCCGAGACUCAGUGAAAUUGAACUCGCUGUGAAGAUGCAGUGUACCCGCGGCAAGACGGAAAGACCCCGUGAACCUUUACUAUAGCUUGACACUGAACAUUGAGCCUUGAUGUGUAGGAUAGGUGGGAGGCUUUGAAGUGUGGACGCCAGUCUGCAUGGAGCCAACCUUGAAAUACCACCCUUUAAUGUUUGAUGUUCUAACGUGGCCCCAUCAUCUGGGGUGCGGACAGUGUCUGGUGGGUAGUUUGACUGGGGCGGUCUCCUCCCAAAGAGUAACGGAGGAGCACGAAGGUUGGCUAAGCAUGGUCGGACAUCAUGCGGUUAGUGCAAAGGCAUAAGCCAGCUUGACUGCGAGAGUGACGGCUCGAGCAGGUACGAAAGUAGGUCUUAGUGAUCCGGUGGUUCUGAAUGGAAGGGCCAUCGCUCAACGGAUAAAAGGUACUCCGGGGAUAACAGGCUGAUACCGCCCAAGAGUUCAUAUCGACGGCGGUGUUUGGCACCUCGAUGUCGGCUCAUCACAUCCUGGGGCUGAAGUAGGUCCCAAGGGUAUGGCUGUUCGCCAUUUAAAGUGGUACGCGAGCUGGGUUUAGAACGUCGUGAGACAGUUCGGUCCCUAUCUGCCGUGGGCGUUGGAAGAUUGAAAGGGGCUGCUCCUAGUACGAGAGGACCGGAGUGGACGCACCACUGGUGUUCGGGUUGUCAUGCCAAUGGCACUGCCCGGUAGCUAAGUGCGGAAGAGAUAACCGCUGAAAGCAUCUAAGCGGGAAACUUGCCUUGAGAUGAGUCUUCCCUGACUCUUUAAGGGUCCUAAAGGAACGUUUAAGACUAAGACGUUGAUAGGCUGGGUGUGUAAGCGUAGCGAUACGUUGAGCUAACCAGUACUAAUGAACCGUGAGGCUUAACCUG